AACCUGAAGCCUGUGAAAAGGAGACCCCAAACACAGUAAGUUAAGCAAAAUGAGAAGAUAGAGAAACACACAGCAGAUGAAGGAGCAAGGUAAAAACCCACCAGACCAAAUAAAUGAAGAGGAAAUAGGCAGUAUACCUGAAAAAGAAUUCAGAGUAAUAAUAGUAAAGAUGAUCCAAAAUCUUGGAAAUAGAAUGGACAAAAUACAAGAAAUGUUUAACAAGGACCUAGAAGAGCUAAAGAGCAAACAAACAAUGAUGAACAACACAAUAAAUGAAAUUUAAAAUUCGCUAGAAGGAAUCAAGAGCAGAAUAACUGAGGCAGAAGAACGGAAAAGUGACCUGGAAGAUAAAAUAGUGGAAAUAACUACCACAGAGCAGAAUAAAGAAAAAAAAAAAAAAGGAAAGAA